UGGGUAACCUGCCUCAAAGAGGGGAAUAGCCUCCCGAAAGGGAGAUUAAUACCGCAUAAUAUGUUUUAGUCGCAUGACUUAAACAUCAAAGGAUUUUCUUUUAGAAAUUCCACUUUGAGAUGGACCCGCGGCGCAUUAGCUAGUUGGUGAGGUAACGGCUCACCAAGGCAACGAUGCGUAGCCGACCUGAGAGGGUNAUCGGCCACAUUGGAACUGAGACACGGUCCAGCUCCGAGG
rnacentral:rRNA from 1 species